UACGUAGGGUGCGAGCGUUGUCCGGAAUUACUGGGCGUAAAGAGCUCGUAGGUGGUUUGUCGCGUUGUCCGUGAAAACUCACAGCUUAACUGUGGGCGUGCGGGCGAUACGGGCAGACUGGAGUACUGCAGGGGAGACUGGAAUUCCUGGUGUAGCGGUGGAAUGCGCAGAUAUCAGGAGGAACACCGGUGGCGAAGGCGGGUCUCUGGGCAGCAACUGACGCUGAGGAGCGAAAGCGUGGGGAGCGAACAGG
rnacentral:rRNA from 1 species